CAAUGCGAUGGGUCGGGGAAAUAGAGCCCAAGAUGAAGCCAAGAGAGGGCAAAUAUCUGAAUUGCCUCUCCCAUCGUAUCCUUCCUUCCAUGCCUUUCCUCAAAGAAACCUCUUCGAGAAUCCUUCCCCGCCGUGGCAGAAAUUGUUUCCGACGGUCUGGAUUAUCCAUCCUAUAAUGUCCUCCACUCAACAACGACAUCUCAUCAUCCUCAUCUUUCUUCCACACCUCGAAUCGUGACGAACAAAGCUCUAAGAAACCUAAGAGACUCUAAAAUGAGAUCCAUAGGUUGAAGAAAGACACCCACAGCACGGCGAGCAAGGUGGAAAACUUUGAAAGAGAGUACUUACUUGCGGAACAGAGCUUUAUACCGGUGAAAUUGGACGAUCGAAACGCAAUCACUAGGAAAAAUAGAGGUUUGAAUUAUGGUUUGAGCUGUGAAUUUUCCAGCUGCCAGUGCAUUGCUAUGCUGCAGAAUUUUGGAUCAUAAUGCAGCACUCUUGUUCAAUGUCUUCCUGAUUCUGGCAGGACCUUCAGAAGAGGACCCUGGUGCUUUGGCUUGGAAAAGGUUAGCUUCCAUCGAGGGCUGACUUAAUGAUGUGCAAAAUUAUAUGCUAUCAAGAUAUUUGGAAAAAAGGCAUGGCUUGGAGAGAUCAUGGCUAUUUGAUAGAAAAUGAAAUUGACUAUGAAAUUAAAAGAAGAUGAAACAUGAGGAAAACAAAGUGAACAUUGACUAUGAAAUUAAAAGAAGAUGAAACAUGAGGAAAACAAAGUGAACAUUGGCAUUAGUUUUAGGGAUUAUAUGAGUUGACUUUGGUCAACUAGUUGACCAAAAAGUCAACAAUUGACAAAAAAAGUCAAUACUUGACCAAAAGUCAACUUAUGCAAAAAUGACAUAAUUUUGUAAUCUUUUUCAAUGCAAUGUAUAUGAACAAUGUAACUAAUGAAAGAAAUUUAUUCUUCAGUUAAAAAGUUCCAAUUAUAUAAUGGACCAAUAGGAUUCAA